GGGCCCGCACAAGCGGUGGAGUAUGUGGUUUAAUUCGAUGCAACGCGAAGAACCUUACCAGGGUUUGACAUCCUGCGAACCUCUUAGAAAUUUGAGGGUGCCUUCGGGAAUGCAGUGACAGGUGGUGCAUGGCUGUCGUCAGCUCGUGUCGUGAGAUGUUGGGUUAAGUCCCGCAACGAGCGCAACCCACGUUUUUUAGUUGCCAGCAUUUAGUUGGGCACUCUAGAAAGACCGCCGGUGAUAAACCGGAGGAAGGUGUGGAUGACGUCAAGUCAUCAUGCCCCUUACACCCUGGGCUACACACGUACUACAAUGCUACGGACAAAGGGCAGCAAACUCGCGAGAGCUAGCAAAUCCCAUAAACCGUGGCUCAGUUCAGAUCGUAGGCUGCAACUCGCCUACGUGAAGUAGGAAUCGCUAGUAAUCGCAGGU
rnacentral:rRNA from 1 species